CUUAAAGGGGCAGCAAGAAAGGAGGAGGAGGACAUCAACAGCCUCACCCUUUGAAAAAAAAGAUACAGCGAGUAGAAGUUAAGAGAAGAUGGGACAGAAAAGUGAGACAGUCGUUAGUUACAUUGUUAGGCAACGGGAACUGGCUAACACCCACACACACCCAGACACACAUGCACACAAGGAAAUCAGUGAGUGUAUUGAGAUUUCUCACGCGAUGUUGUGUACACAUUGCUUAAAAGUUGUCCAACAUAUUGGACAUGCUAACAGCCACUAGUUGUUAGCAAAAAAAAUGUGUAUUUCCUUACUGGUUACGGCAUUAAGUAAGUGAAGUUUAUUUAUAUAUUGCUUUAAAAGACACAAAAGUGCUAAACAAUAAUUAAAAUGUAAUUACUAUCAAAAUGAAACAUGCAAAAAUAAGUAAAAAAUAAAUAAAUAAAUAAAUGAAAAAAAAAAAAGAAAAAAAGAAAUCACACUAUUUCUGAUAAAACAAUAAAAAACUGCAACACAAACCAAAAACGGAGAAGCUUUACCUUCAAAUUAAAAGUUUUGUGGUUUUUCAAAAGGCACAAUUGUCUUUGUUUCCCUACUCAGAGAGUAACUGGACAAUGUUUAUAGACAAGUCUGCCAUUCAAACCAUAACUGCAGCAAUAUGCUAGUAACCAAAGAAAUUACAGAGAUUUUUGCCAAACAGUUGAGGAAUACACAUUUUUCUUACUAACAUGUGGUAGCCAAGGGGUCAUGACCCGGCCUGUAGGCCUGUGUGACUGGGUCUUUAGCAAUCACUUUCCCAGCGACUGCCAUCAACCUCCAGCAACUACUCACAACCAGUUGGGUAAUACUCAUUUCUCCCCUCACGACCAGGUAGUCACAUGUCUGCACAACCUCAAUAAAUUACACAAACAUCUAUACACAAACGUAUGCAGUACAUGUAAACACAUCAUACGCUUAAGUCCUCGAGGGCCAGAAAUCCCGUGUGAGUUUACAACAUCACAUCCAUCCUCAGGGGGGAUUUCAUAACAGCAAAAAUAUCUAAUGCUACAUACAGUACCGCAGUGUUCCAGUACCAGUGGAUUAGCG
ensembl:lncRNA